CCUACGGGAGGCAGCAGUGGGGAAUAUUGCGCAAUGGGCGAAAGCCUGACGCAGCGACGCAGCGUGAGGGAUGAAGGUCUUCGGAUCGUACACCUCUGUCAGCAGGGAAGAACGGUCACUGUGCUAAUCAGCAGUGAAUUGACGGUACCUGCAAAGGAAGCACCGGCUAACUCCGUGCCAGCAGCCGCGGUAAUACGGAGGGUGCGAGCGUUAAUCGGAAUUACUGGGCGUAAAACGCUCGUAGGCGGGUAGUCAAGUCAAGGGUGAAAGCCCCGCGCUCAACGUGGGAACUGAAUUUGAAACUGGCAAACUGGAGUGUGGUAGAGGAUAGUGGAAUUCCAGGUGUAGCAGUGAAAGCCGUAGAUAUCUGGAGGAACAUCAGUGGCGAAGGCGACUAUCUGGCACAUAACUGACGCUGAGGAGCGAAAGCGUGGGUAGCAAACAGGAUUAGAUACCCCUGUAGUC
rnacentral:rRNA from 1 species